rnacentral:rRNA from 1 species
AACGAACGCUGGCGGCAUGCCUAACACAUGCAAGUCGAACGAGACCUUCGGGUCUAGUGGCGCACGGGUGCGUAACGCGUGGGAACCUGCCCUUAGGUUCGGAAUAACUCCCCGAAAGGGGUGCUAAUACCGGAUAAUGUCUUCGGACCAAAGAUUUAUCGCCUUUGGAUGGGCCCGCGUUGGAUUAGCUAGUUGGUAGGGUAAAAGCCUACCAAGGCGACGAUCCAUAGCUGGUCUGAGAGGAUGAUCAGCCACACUGGGACUGAGACACGGCCCAGACUCCUACGGGAGGCAGCAGUGGGGAAUAGUGGACAAUGGGCGAAAGCCUGAUCCAGCAAUGCCGCGUGAGUGAUGAAGGCCUGAGGGUUGUAAAGCGCUUUUACCCGGGAUGAUAAUGACAGUACCGGGAGAAUAAGCUCCGGCUAACUCCGUG